AACCUAAGGGCGCAAUGAAAGUGAAGGCCCUCCUCCAGGUGGGCUCAGGUGGGAUCCCGGCCCCCGAGGCCGGGCGCACCACCGGCCCGUCUCGGUCACAACUGACGAGGCGGAGCGAGAGCGUACGCGUUGGGACCCGAAAGAUGGUGAACUAUGCCUGAGUAGGUCGAAGCCAGAGGAAACUCUGGUGGAGGACCGUAGCGAUUCUGACGUGCAAAUCGAUCGUCAAACUUGG
rnacentral:rRNA from 1 species